GGCAAAUUGUUAUACUUUGCCGAAGUUUUAGUAGAUAGAUAAUUAAAUGACGUAAUUGAAACAAUUGACGUUACGUCAUAUAUAACGAAACUAUGGCGUUUUGCCCUGCAAAAGAGCAGUACCGCAGUUACCGUGAAAGUGUCUAUAAGAAUUAACAAUAUCUUAUCAUCAUUUGAAAUCCGCCGCUCAUAAUACUGUUGUUAUUUGUCAUAAACACGAAGUUUUGAAUGAAGAUAAAAUUUGAUGACAAUUUCUGUUCCGUGAGAAUUGGGGGAAUUGAUGUAACCAUACUUUGACAAUGAUGCUUAUUUGUCAUGAUAUUCUUUUGGCGAUCCAUUACUAGUAAUCUGGGGUGUUGUGGUAAGGCGGCGCUGUAUUGAUCAUGUUAUAAAUAUUUAUUAAUACUUUGAUAACUCUUUUCUUCCUAUAUAUCUACGUGGCAAAGUGCUUUGUUAGAAUCAGCACAGAUAUUUUGCUAAAAUUUUGUGAUUAUGCGAUUGUGUACGAGAGUUCUGUGAUAGAUUGUGUCGAUGUUGAUCAUAUUAUAAUAAAUGAAAACACAUGGUUUC
rnacentral:sRNA from 1 species